GAGUAUCAUGCCCUUCGGGGUAGAUCUCCCACCCUUCGUAUACCAUACCUCUGUUGCUUUGGCGGGCCGCCUAGCUACUGGCUUCGGCUGGUAAGUGCCCGCCAGAGGACCCAAAACCCUGAAUAUUAGUGUCGUCUGAGUAAAAAGUUUAAUAUUUUAAAACUUUCAACAACGGAUCUCUUGGCUCU
rnacentral:misc_RNA from 1 species